CCGCCCCCCGCCCCCCGGCCCUGGCCCGGGGCCGCCCGCAGAGCCGGCCACACCCGCUGCGGAGGACUCACCAAGUGCAGGGGCCAGCUGUGGGGACUCCUCACCCAAAGCAGGGCACCAGCAAUCCGUAGUAGCCCGCAGGAAAGGGGCAGCUGCCCAGCCGCAGCCCAGGUGCAAGGGGCAUUUGUUUCCACGGGGCAAGCAAGGAAGACUUUACCCUGAAACAAAGAAUUGAGACCAACCGAGACUGUCCCAGCCUCUUCGACGGCAGAGGAAUCCCAGCUUCUGGACUGAGGGGCUACAUCUAUCCC
rnacentral:lncRNA from 1 species